rnacentral:rRNA from 1 species
AGAGAUGUGUGAUGACGCAUAUCAAUAAGCGGAGGAAAAGAAACUAACAAGGAUUCCCUUAGUAACGGCGAGUGAAGCGGGAAGAGCUCAAAUUUGAGAUCUUCAAGGUUCUACCUUGACGAAUUGUAGUUUAUAGAAGUGUUUUCUGUUAGUAGGAGCUGGCAAAAGUUCUUUGGAAUAGGACAUCAUAGAGGGUGAGAAUCCCGUAUUUGGUCAUUCCUUCCUAGCGUUGUGAUACACUUUCAACGAGUCGGAUUGUUUGGGAAUGCAGUCCAAAAUGGGUGGUAAAUUUCAUCUAAAGCUAAAUAUUGGCGAGAGACCGAUAGCGAACAAGUACCGUGAGGGAAAGAUGAAAAGAACUUUGAAAAGAGAGUUAAACAGUACGUGAAAUUGUCAAAAGGGAAGCGUUUGACACCAGUGUUGUUUUUCCGAAAAUCAAUUACGAAUGUUUUUAUUUUUGAGGAGUUAUGACUUCAUCGGCUUGCUCCUUUCUUUAUGAAACUUUCUUAAUGCACUUUUCGGUUAACAAGUCAACAUCAAUUUCCUUUGUUGUAAAAGGGUAUGAGGAAGGUGGCUUUCUUUUCGGAGAAAGUGUUUAUAGCCUUGUGCCUCUGCAAUCGGAGAGAUUGAGGUCUGCAGCGUAGAUCCUUCGGGGUUAGAUACUUUUGUGCUAAGUUAUAGCUUUUCAUAGACAACUUGUUGACUAUGUUUAGUCUUGUAGCUUACUCGCUUACUGCUAUUUUACCUACGCUUAGGAUGUUGAACUCUAUCACACACAG